rnacentral:snRNA from 1 species
AAAGAUAACAUUUGCCAUGAGCGGCACAGGUAGGGCAACUUGAUUGCUCUGUGUUGUGGCAUCAACAUCAAAAGGUUUUGGGAGCAUAAUUUUUUGGUACAUGGGCAGCUGGUGAUUGUAGUCCCAGCACACUU